rnacentral:rRNA from 1 species
AUUCAAUGUACUCAAUGCAUUCGAUGGAUGCCCGAGCAUUGAGAAGGAAGGACCCUUGAAGAGGCAAAAGGCCAUGAGGAGAUACCAUCUGUGAUCCAUGGAUCUCCGAUCGGGAAGCCGUAUCCAAGCUCCGUGGCUAGUCUACACUCUUUGGACUUUGAAAACUUAACGAACUGAAACAUCUGAGUAGUUAAUGGAAGGGAAAUCAACCGAGAUCCCUUUAGUAGCGGCCAGCGAGAGCAGAUUGGGGCUUUGAAGAAAAAGAAACACAAAGCUUACCACGAAGCUUCGCUCUAGCGAAGCAAAGCAAUUCAAUCUUCUUUCAUCCGCGAAGCGGAAUGAAGCAAAGGUGCGGAGCCACUUAGCCUCGUUCCUCUCGCUUCGCGCAUUGCUCGCUCAGUGCUUAUGCACUUCGCUUCCUUUUCUAUUAGGCUCGUUUCGUAGAACUAUACUCAUUUAAAUGUAACUCGUUCUCGAUCGGCCUAACAAACUUGUUUUUGUACGCUCCUAUUAAGCUCGCGUAACUCGUUCUCGUUGGUUUCAUUCGAUUUGUUGUGGAUUGGAUGAUGGAAAAAAUGUUGGUUCGAGAAUUGUGAAAUGGUUGGAAGAUCUAACCAAAGAUGGUGAUAGCCUUGUAGAUUCGUUCCCAUGGUUUGAUCCUUCCCAGUAAAACACGGCAUGUUCAAAUUCUGAUUGUUUUUACGAGAGAAAGGGGGACCACCCUCUAAGCUUAAGUCUUCCUCAAUGACCGAUAGCGUACAAGUACCAUGAGGGAAAGGUGAAAAGAACCCUAUUUAGGGAGUGCAAUAGAGAACCUGAGAUCCGAUGCAAACAAUCAGUCGAAAGGAGCAGAGCUUAGAGCCAAACGGCGGGCGCACUCACUCUAACGGCAUACCUUUCGCAUGAUGGGUCAGCGAGGAAAUGGGAACAGCGGCUUAAGCCAUUAGGUGUAAGCGCUUUCUAGAGGUUGAAUCUUCUAGUUGUUUCUAUUUGACACGAAAUCGAUCUAUCUGGCCAUGAGCUAGUUGAAGAGAGCUCUAACAGGCCUUAGAGGACCGAACCCACGUAUGUGGCAAAAUACGAGGAUGACCUAUGGCUAGGGGUGAAAGGCCAACCAAGAUCGGAUAUAGCUUGUUUUCUACGAAAUCUAUUUCAGUAGAGCGUAUGAUGUCGAUGGCCCAAGGUAGAGCACUCAAUGGGCUAGGGUGGCCCCCAAAAAGCUUGACCAACCUAGGGAAGCUCUGAAGACAGGCUUAGAUCAUUUGUACAGACAGACUCUUUGGGUGCUAAGAUCCGAAGUCGAGAGGGAAACAGCCCAGAUCGUACGCUAAGGUCCCUAAGCAAUCACUUAGUGGAAAAGGAAGGGAUCGAGCGAUGACAAUCAGGAGGUGGGCUUGGAAGCAGCCAUCCUUUAAAGAAAGCGAAAUAUCUCACUGGUCUAGCUCCAUGGCACAAAAAAUGUAUCAGGGCUCAAGUGAGUCACCGAAGCGACGAGACCUUGAAAGCAUUUUCAAGCGUCAGUAGCGGGAUGUUCUUUCAAUCGGGGAAGGUUUUGGUGACAACACUUGGAGAUAUCAAAAGUGAGAAUGCUGACAUGAGUAACGAGAAAUUCUAUGAAAAACACGAGCGCUUGUCAGUUCAAGGGUUUCUACGUUCAGUCAAUCUACGCAGAGUGAAUCGAUCCCUAAGGAAGCCCUGAAAGGGCUGCCUUCCGAUGGGUACACGAGAGUGAUGAAGUUGCUUUGAUUGCUGAACCAUGCCUGUCUGUUGGAACGAAUUGGAUGAUCGGGCCAUGGGCUGCCCCCUCUUCCCCUCGCUCUCCAUUCCUUAAGAUGAACAUUGAGUCAGAAAAGCCUUCUUGACUCGGAUGUGCUUGGACCCCUAAGCUACUGACGCUUCAAAAGCUGAAACUCUCGUCGUAGUUUGACUAACUAAGAACAAAGAAGUCAACUGUUCAGGUAGUGGCAUGGCAAGCAAGGAGCAAAGCCAGUGGUAGCAAUGUCAAAUCACUCGUUGUUGAGGGUGGGUUUGCUUUUAGAAAAAGCGAUUGUUGAAGAAACGAAGAAAACUACACCAAGCAACCAAGCAAUGGGAGAGUGCGCUAGCACAUCCGUUUUCUUGCUGCGCGAAAGCCGUUGCAUGGUAGCGCAUACGUUUUCUUGCUGGGAAAAAAACAAACCAACAAUUGCAAGCAAGAAAAUGGAUUCGUGGCGCGUUAGCGCCCUUGCUUCUUGCUUUCGAGCCUACGUUUUCUGGCAGUUUACUCUUGCAAAGCCCUCGCUCGUUAGAGUGAGUGCUUUGAUGUUGCUUCGCACUCGGUCCUAGCUUUUGAGCAAAAGCAAAAAGGGCUCUUGACUACUUGGGCUUUUACAAGACUUUGCUAACCUAACAACUAAACUCACGCAGCAAAAAGGGCUCUUUAGUACGUACUUGGUUUGGUUGGGCAUUGACGUUGCGUUAACGACUGAACUCGCUGAGGCUUUGCUCGUUGCAUCAAAGCAGCACUCUAUUGGGCAGCAGCAAAAAUCCCUCAAGAGAGCUUUGGCAAGAGUUAGCUAACGACUGAACUCACUGAGGCUCGUUGGCUACAAAGCAAAUUGCUUAUGAGGGCUGUGCAAAAAGCAAAGCUCUUGUUUGAGAGUGCCCAGCAAAGCACUCAUAAGCGAUUUGCCUUUUGACAGCAAAACUCCCUGCCAAUAGUUUGACCUUGCUACGUGGAGUAGACUGAAUGAGCUAGACAGACACUUUGAGUUAUCUAAAGGUGAAGACGGGCGAAGACUCGGCCCAACGGGCGCUCUUUCCCAUAGGUGAGCUCCUGCUCAGCGCACCUGCUAACACCUUUACAAGCACUUUCUAGUGUGAACCCUUCGGUCGCCUUUCUCAUUUUAGUGCUCUCCUUUUGAAUCUUCAAUAGGGGCCUUUAGUCUUAGAAUAGGGGUGGGGAGAGAGCAGAGCGUACUGCCCUGCCAUAGUCACGAGUAUGUUGUCAUAAUCAUAAAGGCUUUCAACUUUUAAGAAAGAAAUUAGAAUUGAGAGGGCGAUCCUCCCGGUGAACUGACCAUACCCCAAACCGACACAAGUGAACAAGUUGAGUAUACUAGGGCGUUUGAGAGAACCAUGUCAAAGGAACUCGAAAAAAUGACCCCGUAACUUCGAGAUAAGGGGUGCUCUCCUUGCUUUUGAUUAGGAAAGCAGCACAAACCAGGGGGUAGCGACGGUUUAAUAAAAACACAGGACUCUGCUAAGUGGUAACACAAUGUAUAGAGUCUGACACCUGCCUGGUGCUAGAAGGUCGGAAGGAGAAGUCUUAUAAGCUUUGAAUGGAAGCCCCGAUCAACGGCGACAGUAACUCUAACUGUCCUAAGGUAGCGAAAUUCCUUGUCGCAUAAGUAACGACCUGCAAGAAUGGUGUAACGACUACCCCGCAGUCUCCGACAUGGACCCGGUGAAAUUGAAUUCUCCGUGAAGAUGUGGAGUACCAACGGCUAGACGGUAAGACCCCAUGCACCUUGACUAUAGCUUCAUAGUGACAACCUUGAUCGAAUGUGAAGGAUAGGUGGGAGGUGGUGACACAAAUCUCCCAAUCCUGAAAGACCACUCUUUCGUCUAAGGAUACCUAACCGCCACACUGAUCAUUUGGGGGUGGGGGGGCACUGUGAGGUGGGUAGUUUAUCUGGGGCGGAUGCCUCCUAAAGAGUAACGGAGGUGUGUGAAGGUGGGCUCAAGCUAAGAUUAUGCUCGUGAGUGUAAUGGUAUAAGCCUGCCUGACUAUGAGAUCGACUGAUCGAACAGAGAUGAAAGCUAGCCAUAGUGAUGCAGGACUCCCGUGUGGAAGGGCUCUCGCUCAACAGAUCAAAGGUACAUCGGGGAUAACAGGCUGAUGACUCCCAAGAGCUCUUAUCGACGGAGUCAUUUGGCACCUCGAUUUCGACUCAUCACAUCCUGGGGUUGAAGAAGGUCCUAAGAGUUUGGUUGUUCGUCAAUUAAAGUGGUACGUGAGUUGGGUUUAGAUCAUCGUGAGACAGUUCGAUUCCUAUAUACCAUUGGUGUUAAAGGGAGAACUGCGAGGAGACAACCCUAGUACAAGAGGACUGGGUUGGGCCAACCUAUGGCGUACCGGUUGUUAUGCCAAUAGCAGUGUCGGGCAGCUAAGUUGGUAUGGAAGAACUACUGCGCUGCAUCUGAGCUGAGUUAUAGACACUCUCUCAAAGCAAUGAGAGGAGUUUACAUUAGUUUAGUCACUCGUUGUCUUAAACGUUGGAAAUCCUUCUCUAUACAAGUUCUCGUACGAUGGUUUUUAAGAGAACUUCGUUAGGCGGAGAUGUGAGCACUUCGAGGUGUGAAGCGAUCUCAUACUAAACGAAACUACUUUCUCUUU